GCUCCAGUAGCGCAAUUGGUUAGCGUGCUGUACUUAAAAGACAGUAGAAAGCAUGCCGAGGUUGGGAGUUCGAGCCUCACCUGGAGCA